UUCAGGACACUAAGUGACCUAGAAUCAGUUCAAAGGUUAUUCUGUUCCUUCACAGAGCUCAGGCAUUCCCACAUUGGUCUCAACUGCCAUCUCACACAGUAAAUUCCUUUUAUGUGUGUGAGCAGGAUUGGACCUCCCAACGUAUUUUGGGGAGCAGAAUCAGAGGAGUUUGCCCUGCUCUGUGAGGGAAGGAGUUUAACAAGCAUAGAUCUUUCUGAGAAAGCCACACAGAGGUUUUGAUGCAAUUUUCUUGAAAAUAUCAAGUCACAAUUUUAUUUUCCUCAAGAGAAUGGGUCCCCUAAAAUCUUGCUUACUCUGUUAGCAUGAGUUUGUAUUUUUAUUUUUUAAUUAAAAAAUUUUUUUAACCUUUAUUUUUGAGAGAGAGAGAGAGAGAGAGAGAGAGAGCGCGAGCCAGUGGGGGAGGAACAAGAGAGAGGGAGAGACACAGAAUCCAAAGCAGGCUCCAGGCUCUGAACCAUCAGCACAGAGCCCAACACAGGGCUUGAACUCACAGACUGCGAGAUCAUGACCUGAGCCGAACUUGGACACUCAAGCGACUGAGCCACCCAGGUGCCCCAUGAAUUUGUGUUUAAAGUGCUGGAGGUACAUUCUGUUUAUGACUUACUACAAACAAGGAAUCAGAAGGUGAGGAGAGUGAUGUGUGGGAAAUACAAAUCAUACAAAUCUCAACAUCUUGUUGGAAUUCAGCAAAGAAAGAAUCUUUGUCUCAAUGCUGAUAAUAACCCACCACCAUUUUUUAGUGAAGAUUUAUUGUUGUGCUUACUUUAUGUUCAUCCACGUAAAUUCCCAUAAUGACCCCAUUAACUACUAUGGUUUUUCCCAUUUUUCAGAUAAAAGCACAGAGACAUGGAGAGUGGGCAAUGUACCCAGAUCGUAAAGCUAGGCUGUCAGUGUGCAGAUUGGGCCUUAAGCAUCAAGCAGUCUUUGGUCUCUGCUCGUCUUGUCACUUGUGCUGGUCUCUGUUAACUUUAGUUUGUUGGAGCUGCUCAUUUCCACAAAUGCCCAGGAUGCAGUCCACACCCUCUACUUACAGUGGGAUCUCUGGACCAGCAGCAUGGAAGCAUCUGGAAGCCUGCUGGAAAUGCAGGAUGUCAGUGCACCUUCCUACCCGCCCGGGGGCUACUGUACCACAAGACCCCUAGAAACUCACAUGCACAUUCAAGUUUGAGAGGCACUGCUCUCUGCUGCCAGAGAGCAGUAAGUAUAUCCUUCACACUUUCUCUCCCUCCCUCCCCUCCACUGAAUCGUGUCUAGUAAUUUUAAUUUCUUUAAAAGUAACAAUGACAGAAAAAUCACAAUGUCUCAAAAUAUCUUACCAAGAGUGCUCAAAACUACCCCACAGAAGCAUGACAAGGAUUUCGGAGCAUCUUUGAAUUGCUUUUGAGAAAUUAAAGAAAAAUUCCAGCAUCACUCUAAGGUGAUGCGUUUCAGAAUUCACAAUCACCUACGUUUUAUACACACACGGGCACAAGGGAGACAUGGAGGUCCAAGGGGUCUGAGAGACUCCAUCCUUUCUUGUGUUUUGCACUGGGCCACAGUUCCUGAGCAGAUGCUGCACAACACGGAGCCACCCUGUGGUAGAAGCCUUGUUGACGGAGGGGACAAGUGAGAACCAAGCUGUCAACAACCCCAGUUCCUGCCAAACCUCAUCUGUCUGCCUGCCAGCCAGGGUUCUGAACAUACAUUUGGGAAUUUUGCCUUUUGCCUUUUACUGAAUGUGAAGUUCUCCUGUGUGUGUAUGUGUUGCCUCGAUAAGCUGACCCAGUUUAGGGAUAACUAGAAUAUGUUUUGGUUUACAAGAUUCAGAAUCUAUUUCUAGAAGAGGUAAGAACUCUAGAACCGAAAGGGACCGCCUCUCCCCACCGUGCGUAGGUCCCCCUUCUGAAAUUACCAUUCAGGCGGUACCAACAUUGCAAACGUACAGAGCAGGACACAUCUGCUCUGGGGAUGGGAGGGGGAGGGCUUCCAAGGACCACCUCACUCUGCCAGCCAGCUGCAGAGCCUGAUGUACUUGAGGCCAGCAUCGCGUCCUGGUCCCUCACAGGGGCAACGUGAAAAUAUGAUUUAAGAAAAUGGAGGCAUCACGAAAUGCUGCGUGCCAGUUCCUUCUAGAUGUUGUUACUUUGGACCCAGCGUUUCAAAAGUUAAAUUACUCAGGGUAAGCCGCAGUUUUGGCAAAAUGGCAUUAAAUCGCACCAUCUUUAGAGGUUCUGUGUCUUUCUUGGUCAGAAGACAUAUCUGUUGGAAUCCUGGGCAGUACUCAAAGCCUUUUUUUUUUUUUAAAUUUCAGGCUAUACAUAUAUGUGAUACACACACACACACACACACACACACACAUAUAUUCAAUAUUUAUUUUUGACAGAGUGUGAGUGGCGGAGGGGCAGAAAGAGGGAGACACGGAAUCUGAAGCAGGCUCCAGGCUCUGAGCUGUCAAGCACAGAGCCCAACGCAGGGCUUGAACCCACGAACUGUGAGAUCGUGACCUGAGCUGAAGUCAGACGCUUAACUGACUGAGCCACCCAGGCGCCCCAGGCUUUAUAUUUUUAAUGUUCACUUUUGGCAAGUAGAGCCCAUGUAACACGUGUGGUUUAAAGAAUACCCGCAUGCCUAACCAUCACAGGGGUGUGUCCUUAGCUGUGCCCCCCAACUCUGGAGGCUGUUCAAGGUGCUCGUGAGGCAGUGCCUGGCUUCACUUGGCACGGGGCAAGAUGCACGGGGCAAGAUGCUCACUUCAAACUGAAAUGCACCUUUUCCUCCAAGUCACAGUAUUCUGCUGGCCUUAUUAGCGUCAGAAUAAUAAGUAGCUAAUGAAUUUACUAUAAUGGCCUCAUUGACUUUGCAAAGAUACUUAAUUAAACACGUUUUUUUUAGUUUAAUGCCUUCACUUCUGCCCCUUCAGGCCCUUCCAUGAAUAGAGCACAGAGCAAAAGCCCAUUUUUUUACCUAGAACCAUGGGCAUGCCUAAUUUGUAAUGAGUUUGCUUCACCUUCCAGUGACCUCCCUGGAAACAGAAUAACAAAAGCUUAAUCCUCAUGAAGCUUCUGGGGAGUUCAGGGAACAGCAGUGAUUCCUUACCUUAAGGUCAGACCACACAGGCAGCUGCCAUACACUCCUGAUUUUGUCAAAAAUCUCAGAACAUUCACAGUUAAAAAUAUUUUAUUUAAGUUUACACAAAAUACAGUCAUGUACAAAAAUGUACAUAACGUUUUUCAUUCAGUUUACAUUUUAAAAAAGGACAACUGUAAUUUCAAAUACUUUCUGCUUAUAUGUCGUGUAAACAUUGUUCUGGGCCCAUAUUAGUAACUAAAAUUGCAUCUACUCUUGGAGAUUUGCAUGACGGUACGUAUAGGUGCUUUCAGACUGAGAAAGAGAUGUGCCAAACCCAUUUCUCAAGACGCGAGCAUGACCACAACAGGCUGGGUUCCAGGCAAAAUGAGAGUCUCUAGAGACAUAACUGCAGCUUCCCAGCCACAUGAACUUGUAGGUGUACAGAUUUCAUUUUACAAACAUUUUUGUGUACAUCGGUAAUUGACCCCAGCCUAUGUACAUCUAUUAUGAAGGAUCGUGGUAGAAGAAGGCAGGCACCCACAGGGGCACACUCUGGAUUCUGCAAAAUGGCCAGUGCCCCAGUGCAGUGCCCGACAUAUAGAUCAUUCUUGUUUGGAGCGUGCCAGGUUGGCCACCAUGCAAGGUGUGAGUGUGCACAAUUUGAAUGAACACUCGAAAAUAUGUUUAGCUAGUCUUACAUCAAAAUGUACUCUUGAGUACAUUUUGAGGGUCAAGUGGAGAAAACAUAAAAGAAGGGAAUAAAAGAAAACAAAGCACACUGAGUUCUGCCACACACAAUGUGCUUCAGAAGAAACACUGCUUCACAUUUGAGUACAGUUUUGUCUCCCCCUGUUGACGUAACCAAGUGGAUACUGAAAAGAACAUCAAGGAGAUGUUGAUCAUGAGGCAGAAACCACCUCUCUCCACCUAGGGGUGGGGGAAAAAAAAAUCCAGGAAGCAGUGUGUCAGGAAGAUUCUUCUUGAAAUCAAAACAGAAUUUAGACUACAACCAACUUUUCAUAAAGCGGUUAAUAGUUUAUGGUACUCAAAUACAAAUAUACCAUCAAAAGUAGUAAGGUGUUACUGUUAAGAAAAGCGGUAUCUUCAUUAUCAGAUUAAGAAUCUCUUAAAAAGUUCAUCAACCAACUGGAAUUUGAUUUACCUUGUAAAUCUGAUCAUUUCUGGAUACUGGGCCCAAUUCUGUCUGCUGGGAACUAAGAAGUUCCAGAAAGAACCAACCUAAUUGGCACCACGACCGCCCCUUGUAUAAACCUAAAUAUUCGGCUUAUUAGGAAUUCUAAGCUCAACCACAUUAACAAAUGCUCAGCCCCCAGGGGCUCCAAGACUGCUGGCCUCAGGACAUCUCAGUGCAACAUUUAUGCUUCAAGCACAGCCCUGCGGCAUUUGUCCAGAAAUGCUACACCUGGGAGCAGGCACGCCCUGCAAGAACCUCUUCAGCCACCACGCAAGAAUUGCAUCAGAAUGAGACAACGCAAAAAUGACACCAAUGUCACAAACAGAGAUGUGGCUGAGUCCUGCCUAGGCAAUAAAUAAUAACCUUUAGAUUUCAAACUGUCAACGAAAGGGAAGAAAUCUAAUUUUUAGCUCUCAAUGCAUUCUUAUAGCUAGCAAUUCAAAAAAAUUAGUUCCCCAGCUUGAAAUUUGGUUUGGUCUUUGAUGGAAAUUUCCCCUGAAUUGGGAGAUCACUGAGAUUGUGUGAGCUUUCUUCUACCAGUUUAAGACAAACAUGCUGUCUGAAAAACUCAGCAGGCCCUGAUCCUAAACCCUGCACAAACAUGUCUGCAAAGUGAGAUUUGAACUAAAUGAUGCAGAGAUGAAAUGCAGUCAUGAUACCGUACUGAAUAUAAACAUCUAUUUCAAUGUUUACUCCAGACUGAACACGAUAAGAAGCAAAUGCGUGUGUGAAAAUUACAAGCCUCUGCUAUUUCUCAUUCUUACAAUCAUACCAUCAAGUUUAUUCACGCUUUACCUUUACUUAUCAUUGCUAUUAAAUAACCCUUGACAUUUGUUUUGUUGGCAUGUGCUAAUAAACACACACACAUUCCCAAGAGAGCACAGGAAAAAACCCCAGUCCAGAGUAUUCUGUAUGAAGCCAAUUAAGACACUGCCUCUAGGGCCAUGAGACCCUGGGCUGCAGAAAUGGUUGCUGUGGAAACAAAUUUGCCUCAGCCUUUCUGGCAGAGCCAAAACCCACUGCCAGGUCUUCAAAUAGGGUCUUGUGUAAACAGGGCUUUUCCGCCUUUAAUGUGGGCGCCAUUCUAGGAAGUAUACAGAUGAGAAAUUACAAAGGAAAACACAACAUUCCAUACACAAUUUAUUUGACUGUAACUUGGUGUUUUCUUUUAUUCAUCAUACAAAUUUGAAUGGGGAGUCCUGGAUAAGUCUUUUACUUAAUUUACCUUUGGCAGAAACAACAGAUUUCAAACAUUUAGUAGCUUCUCAUUUAUAUAGCAUUUUUCUUUUAAAAUUCUGUGUGUAGCAUAUUAGUAUUUUCAAAACAAUACUCUUCAACAGAUGUGCUUUAAAGGUUAACUGGUAAUGAUUUGAUUUAUAUUAUAGCUUAUUUAAGAGAAUAAUUACUUAAAAAGGACACACUAGACAUGUAUUUCCUUAAAAAAUACGAUUUUUGGUCAUGUGAAUGAUUCAUGUUCAGAUUUCAAAAAUAGAAAACAUCCUAAAGUGCUUAAUUUUAUUUAUAAUAUAACUCCUUGAAAUUAUAGUGAUCUGUAAUGUAAACAGUAGAGCAAAGAAUACCAAACUAUAUAUUCAUGUACAUUUAAAUUUGUAGGAAUAUGUACCGUCUUUAAAUGUGUGGAUUAAAACAGGGCACUUCUAAACACAGCUCAUGCUUCUCUAUAUGAUUAUUGUUAAGAGCAAACUUAAAGGUUUUCUUUCUCCCCACUCCCAACUUAAAAUGAUUUUCAACUGACACCUUCUACCUCACCUCAGCAAUGGAAAACACUGCUAUAAAUCCAAUCUGACCAGUUUCUCAAGAGCCCAUUUCGAAACUGACAACCGGUCUGUAUAGAGUUUAGCGUUCUCUUUAUUUUCUUCUUAUUAUCAAACAAAACAAAAUGGUACCCUUUAAGAAAGCAACUCUCAAAACAGAGGAGGGCAGCCUUGCUCUCCUGUUCAUCCUGCGACUUGAUCUUUAAAAGGCAGAGCCUGCUGAAGUGCCUUCUCUUGGCAACCAGUGGCUGGUGUGCAGACACUUGACCUCAACCUCACAAAGCAUAAAGGUGGGCCUCGGACGGACAGGCAGAAACAGAAUUCACUUUCCUCAGUGCAGAUGCAGAAGGUUAAAAAGGAACAACAAAUCACAAGGUGACAUCAGCACAGCGAGAGAUGAAUGGUUUGGUGCUUUAAAUUCCCUGGUCUUCCCCAAAUGUCUAAUAUAGACAGCUUUGUGACACAGUCUUUGAAAAAAAUUAUAAUCAUAAGUGACCACACACCCUUAUUUUCCUCUUUAUACGUACAUGAUCUUGAAAAUAGUGUGAUUUAGAUUCUGCCUUCGGCUGAGUUCUGAGGGCUACAUUUACCCCUCAGGGGAUUUUAGUGCAGGUUUACUUAAAAAAAAAAAAAAAAAUUAAACUCUGGUAAGUACUCAGAAGGUUUAGAACACAGGCUCGCUCUUUCUCUCUCUCAUGAUCCUCAACACUUAAGCUAAGAAGUAAGCAAGAUCUUUUAUGUUUGGUAAGAGUCAAAUGAAACCAAGCCCCAAACAGGAUGUCAUAGCAUGCUGGCCUUGCUCAGUGUUUGGUGUUAAAAUCUGAGACUGAUAAGUGCAAUCCAUGUUCAGGAAAGAAUUUUCCAGGCUCUUCACCCUGUUGCCUGAAUUAAAAAUCAACAUUAAUAGAGCCACAUUCCCUCCAUCCUCUGCAGAUGAUCCAGUCCUAGUCAGGAAACAAAAUGUUUCGCCAGCUGAGGGAGUCUUGAAGAAACACACCAUCAAAUAGAUGACUGCACUGCCAUUUUGGGCAGGUACGGCUUCCGUCUUCCUGAGAACUGAAGGGGACACGACCCACACGGGUGGGGAAAGGCGCGGCUCUGUGGAAAGGUCACGAGAAUGGCCGAGGCAGCAAACAGGGCUCCAGCACGUGUUCCCACUUUCCUGGGAAAGAGAACAUGGACCUGCACAGCGAGUUCGUUUUCUAGAGGGAAGUCCUGAGCUUGUUUUCAUCACAGUUAGACAGAGAAUGGUCUCCUGUUUCUCAGUUAUCCAGGGAAGAAUAGUGUAUAUUCUCUGUAGAUGAGCGUGUCUCAACGUAGUGAUUCAGCACGGCCAACGUUAGUAAACCUUCCCCUGCAGUAUCCACGUGCACCCGUGGGAUCUUGACUGUUCCUUGCAAAAGUCUUAAGUCGGAGCAAGUUACCCUCUCCCAUGCAGACAGCUGCUAAGGCAGGCGAUGGAAGCUGGAGCUGAUCCCAAAGGCCCGGAGGCAGUAGGGCUGUGUGCUCUGAGGUCCAGCUCCCACGCUGCCUUCCGGGUUUUGCAGAGAUGCUAUUUACCAGGGGAGGCGGGUAGCAAGUCCAGCCUGCACCUUCAGCCCCCUUAGUGCCGGCUGGGGCUGUGCCCCUUACAUGGACUUGGAAUCAGUGUCUCUCUUGCUGAUGAGCACCUCCAAGAGCCUUAAUUUUGCCUUUAUGUGCUUAUAUUCAUUGUAUUCUUCAGCCAUAGGAGUGCGGUCUUCCUUCUGGACACUUCUAACGGAAACAAAAGGAAAGGGGG
rnacentral:lncRNA from 1 species